UUUUCUGUUGCGCCAAGGGCAUACGUAUUUCUACUAUGCUCUGUCGUACCAAGAAGACA
rnacentral:pre_miRNA from 1 species